UACGUAGGGGGCUAGCGUUGUCCGGAAUCAUUGGGCGUAAAGAGCGUGUAGGCGGCUCGAUAAGUCCGCUGUGAAAGUCCAGGGCUCAACCCUGGGAUGCCGGUGGAUACUGUCGGGCUCGAGUCCGGAAGAGGCGAGUGGAAUUCCUGGUGUAGCGGUGAAAUGCGCAGAUAUCAGGAGGAACACCGGUGGCGAAGGCGGGUCUCUGGGCCGAUACUGACGCUGAGACGCGAAAGCGUGGGGAGCAAACAGG
rnacentral:rRNA from 1 species